rnacentral:tRNA from 22 species
CCGCCCGUAGCUCAGCUGGAUAGAGCGUCGCCCUCCGGAGGCGAAGGUCUCAGGUUCGAAUCCUGACGGGCGGGCCA